UUGAAUAAACCUGAUGUGGUUGUUGCUGGCUCUUUCGAGAGUAUGUGCACGCCCGUCAUCUUUAUAUUUCCACCUGUGCACCUUUUGUAGACCCAGGCGACGCAAGUCAAAUGGGCCUAUGCUUUAUCAUAUACCCCAUAGUAUGUAUCAGAAUGUAUCAAUGGGCUUCAUGCCUAUAAACAUUAUA
rnacentral:misc_RNA from 1 species